GGCAUGCCGGGCGGGCAGGUGGGCAGGUGCCUGGGCGGGGCGCGCCGUGGUUGGCAGCGGGCGGAGGGGCGGCGGCUGCGCACCCCGAAGAGUGGUAGGCGGAGCGAACGCCAAAGGCGGCGGUCGGGACCCUGACAUGGACAAGCUGAAGAAAGUUCUGAGCGGCCAGGACACCGAGGACCGCAGCGGUCUGUCCGAGGUUGUGGAGGCGUCGUCGCUGAGCUGGGGCACCAGAAUAAAAGGCUUCAUCGCAUGCUUUGCUCUGGGAAUCCUGUGCUCAGUGCUGGGGACUCUUCUGCUGUGGGUGCCCAGGAAGGGACUCGGCCUCUUUGCAGUGUUUUACACCCUGGGUAACAUCAUGUCAAUUGGGAGGUGGAAUCCAAACCGCGCUGCUGGAAUAUCUCUAAGCAUCCCCAUGCUGCUUCUCAGGCCGUGCUCUCUGUCUGCCGCCCUGCCCACGUCUCUGCUCCCCAGUCUGUGAGAUAACUUGCUCAUUUGUCAGAUCCUGGCUCUCAUCUCACCCCUCGUGCAGUGCGUGUUACCGUCUUCCUCAUGGGGCCGCUGAAGCAGCUGAAGCGCAUGUUUGAGCCUACGCGUCUCAUCGCCACAAUUCUGGUGCUGCUGUGUUUUGCACUUACCCUGUGUUCUGCCUUUUUGUGGAAUAAGGGACUUGCACUCAUCUUCUGUAUUUUGCAGUCUUUGGCCUUGACGUGGUAUAGCCUUUCCUAUAUACCGUAUGCAAGGGAUGCCGUGAAGAAGUGCUUUGCUGUGUGUCUUGCAUAACACACUGCCAGUGUGCAGGGAGCACCGUGGACGGAAGCUGGUGGACAAUUCUGUAAAUGUCCUCUAAACCUCUGUCUCACAGACACGUGCCUUCUGCUUGCAGCGGUGUGUGGCUUGCAAUUUGGACAUUUUUGAGGGUUGCCUGUGGGAAUAGUCAUGAGUCCUAGACCCUAAUGUCUGUAACACAAUCCGAGGCUCUGUGGCUUGUGUAGACAACUCUUCUUGUGACCAUUAACCUCUGGGAGGUAUUCCACUGACUUCUCACAGAGCAGCUUUGUCUGGUAGCAGCAGAUCAGCCUCAGGAGCAACUGAUUCCCAGGUGGCAGCAGGAAGGUCUAGCAGGGCUUCUAGCGGAGCAGCAGGAAGUACAGAAUUUUGAAGAUUUGCCCCUCACCAGGAAAACCAUUGCCACAGUCCCUGCACAGCGUCUUCCCUGCUGUUUGAGAACAAGUGAUUCUGCCCAGACCCUGGAGAGCCUGCCCGGGAUACAUUGUUCCUUUCCCUGCAUGGCACCGUCUUGCUAUUCUGAACUCAGCUGGCUAUGAAAUACACUUUUAGUGUUCAAUGUGGAUUCUUUCUCUUGCCCUUACCUCCUACGUCUUGUUUUGUCUUGUGACACCGGUUAAUUGCGAGUGAAGUAGUGACCUAAAAAGCUAUUUCCUUUCGGACAAGAGCCAUUAGAAAGUGAAACAUCUUCAUGUUCCUUGCUUUGUUUAUUUGCCCUCAUUAUUUAUAAAUGUUUACUUUCUGUCCUUUGCUGGAGUUGAGAUAAGGAAAGUACAUGGAAGAAAGAUCCCUCGUGGGCCAGCAAGAAGGCAUGCCUGCCAAGCAACCUAAAUGCUCCAGCGUUGACUCUCAGCCUGCACUGGACACUAGUAGUCAGCCUGUAGGUGGGCAUGCUGCAGCCUAGUGCCUAACCACACACAGCGUUCUUGUGUUGGGGACCUCAUCUGGUCCUCAUGAGAGCCAUAUGAGUUGUCUCAACUGCAGUCAAGGAACCGGGGCUCAGGUUGGUUUCUGUGUCACAGCUCCAGCUGUGGCUUGGCUCUCAGCCUCUGUUUUGACACUGAGUCUCCUGGCAUGGCUCUCCUCAGAGCGUCUGUCGUCUCUCAUAACUGUUCCUUUCAUCCUCCUGGCCUGUACCUUUUCUGAUUUCAGCAUCUAUGUCAAUUGUGCCACCUUCUACCCGCUCCCCCGUUUUGCUUUUUGGCAGCUACGUCUGCAUCUGUAGGAUGGCCAGCAUCCCGUGGUCCCUUUCAGCUGCUCAGUGCAUCCCUUGCAUCAUUAGUACCCUGUCUUGACAGCUUGAGGUCCUGGCAGUCUAUGUUUGCCCUUUGCUCAGGGCCAGCCUUGACCUCUGUUUUUUCACCACCAGACCACAGGAGGUGAGAGCACUCAUCUCUGCGGUUGUUGCCAGUUGCUGAACUGUGGCUAAUGACUGUCUUUUCUUCUGAGAUGGAGAACUGUGGAUAGGCUGAUCAGAAUUAGGGCAGAAGGGAGCUCAGUCUUUCCAGAUUCCAGCCAUGCUGUUGAAGGCAUCGAUGAGGUCUUCAGUCAGGAAGCAAAGUUACAUGCUACCCUCUGGCUGUGUGAGGCACAUUCAUGUCCCAGAAGCCUUGGGAAUCAGUUCAGGGCUCAGAAGGGCUCAGAUGUGAGAACGGCCAUUGGGAAAUUUAGGGAAACCCAUGGAUCCUAGCUGACAGGAGGAGUAGGGUCAUUGCUGCAAGCUCCAACCGCCUUGUAGUUAUGUACCUAAAAAGCUGACCUCUCCGUGCCCUUGUCAGGGACUGGGCUUGAGCCCAGGUAUCUUUUAAAGAUGGUAUAGCAAGGAUGAAGAGCAUAACAGUGUGAACAUGGGCUUAGAAAAUAAGCAGAUCCAGAUGUGGUCCAGUCCCAUGCUGGUGAUCCAGAUGUGGUCCAGUCCCAUGCUGGUGAUCCAGAUGUGGUCCAGUCCCAUGCUGGUGGAGGCCUUGGAAGUUACCUAAUGUUUGGUUCCUCAGUUUCACUGUUUCCUAAUAGUGGGCUGACAAGUCCUGCUGGCUCACUGGAGGAUGCCGGUGGAAGAGAAUGCAUCAAGGGCUUGGGGCGCAUGUGGCACAGCAAGUUGGGUCUCCAUGAACUAACUGAUGAGUGCUAAAGGUGACAGGAUGGGUGCCUGCCUGUCAGUUUGUCUAGCAUAUUCUGUGUCCAUCACUGUAGACUGUCAUGCAUUGUCUCACUGAAUGGUCACAGUGACUGUCAGGCAACGGAUAACUGCCUUCAUCAUAAAGUAGUAGUGGUCUCAGAAACUCCCAGGAGCAGGGGCCUCAGUGAGGGUGGUCUAGGUUGAGAUCAAGUCUGGAUAAAAGGCUUUGGCCUAAUUCCUACAGCCUGUGGCCAGUUUGCUUCAACAGUUUGUGUCUGGACACAUUUAAGCAGUUUUUGGAUGACUGUCUUCCAGAAUCUUCCAGACUCUCAGAUUUUUUUUUUCAGUUGCCUUAACCCUAGGUUGUUUCUGACCCUGCUUUUGCUGGACUAUAGAAGGAAGAAAGCCACUUCAUAUCUGCUAAAGUCUCCUACCAAGCCAGUAGUAUUGAUUAAAAGCAACUUAGUGAGUGAGGCUGAAGUGGAGAACUAGCCUCUGACUGUGGCUGUUGGUGUUAUCUGUUUCUCCUCCCUACCCUCAAUUCUUCCCCAUUCACACCCAUGGAGCAGGGCAUCCCUGUGUUGCCAACCAAUGGGGACUGUUGAGUGAUCACUGUAGAGGCAGUGUGGUCCUCAGCCAGGCUGGUUUCCAGGUGUGGGCCUGAUGCUGCCUUCCCUGGGCUGCAGUCUGGAGUGCUUCACUGAGAACACCAUUGUGCCUUCUGGACCAGGAGAGUAGCUUCGGAUCCCCUUGGCUGGUCCAACCUCUACUCCAGGCUGACUGUUGGGAUGCUGUGGGGUGGGGGCCUGUCCACUGAAUCCUGUCUCUCACUGUCCCUUUUCACAGAUCAAGCCUAAGGCAGCUUUUGUCUCUCCUGCUCCUCUGUGUGGCUGCUGCUCAGACCCCAGCUCUUAGGCAUCUUGUCUUGGGGAAGGGUGAGAUGCAUCCCCAGCUUGGCCUUUUCAGUGCUUGGGUGUCUGUUUCUCUCAUGGUGACUUUGUGGAUUAUGCCUUAAUUGCCACCCCCCUUCCACAUAGUCACCGUAGGCUGAGAGAACAAGAAAUGAAAUCAUGAAUUGCAUUCCAUAUACGAUUACUCUUUAAUACUUUGGUUAGAAUAAAUAAUUAGCAUCGGGGCAGUAUCUGAAAUGGAUGUGAAGGGCGGGGCUGGUUUGGCUUUUGUUGUUGGGAUCCCCGUGAGUGACAGGUUUUGCCGUGCACGGGAUGAGACUUGGUGGAAUGAAUUGGUCAGUCGAGGUGCACCCAUGGCUGUGGAUUUCCUUUCCUUUGUGCACCCUCUGCCUACUUCCUGACUUUACUCUUCCUCUGGUAACUUCUCAGUAGAGUCAAUUACAACCAAGCCUAAAACUUAUUUUUAGUUAAUUAAAAAUAAAAUAAAAUCAGUGUUUAAAGCAGUAUAAAGAUGCCUGCUAGACUUUGUGGCAGUUUGGUUUUUACUGUUCAAGUAUUUUUUUUUUUAAUAAGUUUAAUAAUGUGCUUAUAGAUAACAUCCUUUUAAAAGUGAAUGAACCUUAGCUGAAGUUCAUUGCAAAUAUACAUUUUCCCCUAGAAAUCUAAGCUGCUUAGGAAGUUUUAUUAAAAGGAUUGCUUAGGGGGUGAUCUUAAAGUACCUGCCAGUUCACGUUUUGCUUUGAGAUCUUGUGUGUUUUUCGGCUAGCGAAGGGGGAACGCAGUGGAGUUUGUUUAAUCCCAGUUUGCUCGGGGUGGAGUGUUCUGCUUUGAGUAUUUCCAGCCCUGCUGUGACUGUGGGAGACAUUUGAAAUUAGCUGGUGGCAGAGCCUUCCUUCAUAUAAGCUGACAAUAUCAAGUCAGAUACAUUCUGUCAGGAGCUGGUAACUGACAAGGUAGACUCGGGAUGCACAGAGUGGCUUUCUGCAAACUGGCUGAUCUGAAACCAGAGAAAAAUAGGCCCAGUAUAUAGGAAUUCUGUUGAAGCUGAGAGGUCAGCCCAUGGCAUCAGAACAAAUGAUGACACAUGCUCUGUACUCAGAACAAUGGCACUACAUGUCUAGAGUGCCUGCCUAGCAUGGAGCCUGUGGUUCAGUCCCUGGAAAUGCAUACACUGGGCAUGGUGGUGCAUGCCAAUAUCCCAGCACUUGGGAGGUAGAGAGAGGCAGGAGGACCUAGAGUAUAUUGGACCCUAUCUUUAAAAUAAUAAUAAUAAUAAUCAAAGACCAAGUCUGGUGUUUGGACCCAUGCACAUGGCUCCAUCUGUUAAAUGUUCAAAAAAAAUGUUUUUUUUUCUGGCCUUUUCAUUGUCUUUGCUUUACCUUGAAUAAGGAAGGCAAGGUAAACAAAGCAAGCCUCCCUGGACUCCGUCCUUUGUAAUUCUGACUGUGAAGUUGCCAGUGAGGGUGUGCAGAAGCCACUGAUGAAGGCACUGGCUUCCUUGUGUGGGCCCUGGGCACCUGGGCACACUCCCUGGGAGUAAAACCAAAUUCAAAUGCCGGUGGUGGAUUUGUAUGCCUUUAGAACAUUGUGCCUGUUCUCAUACAGUGAGCUUUCAAAACAUUUUGUUUAAAAAAACAAACAAUUUUUAUAAUUGUGUAGGUAUAGUUGAUUUUGAAUGCUACGGAUUGUAUAACUGAAAUUUUAUAUACAAAAAUAUAUUCUUGAAUACUGCCUUUUCUGUCUUGAGGAUCUGGUUCAUGUGGUUUCGUUUUCCUCCCUUCAUAGAGAAAGAGUGUUGCUGGGGAGAGCUACCUCUCCCUUGCACAGCUGUUUCCUCCCCUUUCUUUUCUCCAAUAAAUGGUAGCAUUAUGAUCCUUAA